UACGAAGGGGGCUAGCGUUGCUCGGAAUGACUGGGCGUAAAGGGCGCGUAGGCGGUUUGUACAGUCAGAUGUGAAAUUCCCGGGCUCAACCUGGGGGCUGCAUUUGAUACGUGCGGACUUGAGUGGGGAAGAGGGUCGUGGAAUUCCCAGUGUAGAGGUGAAAUUCGUAGAUAUUGGGAAGAACACCGGUGGCGAAGGCGGCGACCUGGUCCUUGACUGACGCUGAGGCGCGACAGCGUGGGGAGCAAACAGG
rnacentral:rRNA from 1 species